CGAGAUCCUCGCCACUAGUUGCUAUCAUUAUUUUCAGGAAUAGUGGGCCGAAUUAGUGGGACUGCCGUUGUUAAAACGGAGGAAGGAGGGGGGNUACGGCAGGUCAGUAUGCCCCGAAACUCUGGGGCCACACGCGGGCUGCAAUGGUAGCGACAAUGAGUUCCAAACUCGAAAGAGAGUGGCAAUCUCUAAACGCUACCACAGUUAUGACUGAGGGCUGUAACCCGCCCUCACGAAUAUGGAAUCCCUAGUAACCGCGUGUCAUUACCGCGCGGUGAAUACGUCCCUGCUCCUUGCACACACCGCCCGUCGUUUCAUCGAAGUCUGCUUUUA
rnacentral:rRNA from 1 species